UACGAAGGGGGCUAGCGUUGCUCGGAAUCACUGGGCGUAAAGCGCACGUAGGCGGACUCUUAAGUCGGUGGUGAAAUCCUGGAGCUCAACUCCAGAACUGCCUUCGAUACUGGGAGUCUCGAGUCCGGGAGAGGUGAAGUGGAACUGCGAGUGUAGAGGUGAAAUUCGUAGAUAUUCGCAAGAACACCAGUGGCGAAGGCGGCUCACUGGCCCGGUACUGACGCUGAGGUGCGAAAGCGUGGGGAGCAAACAGG
rnacentral:rRNA from 1 species